rnacentral:precursor_RNA from 15 species
GCUAGAAAAGCUUAGGUGAGGCUCACACUACAAACUACAAGUUUUAAGCCUCACCAAAAGUUGGGUGAGGCCAGAAUAGUGUAGUUUGUAGUGUGAGAGCCUCAACCAAAAAUGUUUUUC